rnacentral:rRNA from 1 species
AUACGUAGGGGGCGAGCGUUGUCCGGAAUGAUUGGGCGUAAAGGGCGCGUAGGCGGCCUGUUAAGUCUGGAGUGAAAGUCCUGUUUUCAAGAUGGGAAUUGCUUUGGGUACUGAUGGGCUUGAGUGCAGGAGAGGUUAUCGGAAUUCCCGGUGUAGCGGUGAAAUGCGUAGAGAUCGGGAGGAACACCAGUGGCGAAGGCGGGUAACUGGACUGUAACUGACGCUGAGGCGCGAAAGUGUGGGGAGCAAACAGGAUUAGAUACCCUGGUAGUCCACACUGUAAACGAUGAAUGCUAGGUGUAGGGGGUAUCGACCCCUUCUGUGCCGCAGUCAACACAAUAAGCAUUCCGCCUGGGGAGUACGGCCGCAAGGUUGAAACUCAAAGGAAUUGACGGGG